UAUAAACUAGAGAAUGAGAAAAGUACAUGUGUUCGGAAGAUUUUAAGAGAGUUGCAGGUGGUGAAAUUGCAACAGUCCUCGUCAUAUGGAAUGGGCUCAUGAAGGUGGUAGGAACGGCAUAUUGCCUAGUAAUGACCAACGGGAAUCCAGCCCGUUAUCCAAUGGAAACGUAUAUUUGUACGUAUUAAGUGGAUGCUUUGCAUCAAUUUAGGUGGUACCGCAGAAGAUAUAACUUCUGUCCUAUUG
rnacentral:ncRNA from 1 species